GACGAACGCUGGCGGCGUGCCUAAUACAUGCAAGUUGAGCGCUGAAGGUUGGUACUUGUCCCAACUGGAUGAGCAGCGAACGGGUGAGUAACGCGUGGGGCAUCUGCCUUUGAGCGGGGGACAACAUUUGGAAACGAAUGCUAAUACCGCAUAAAAACUUUAAACACAAGUUUUAAGUUUGAAAGAUGCAAUUGCAUCACUCAAAGAUGAUCCCGCGUUGUAUUAGCUAGUUGGUGAGGUAAAGGCUCACCAAGGCGAUGAUACAUAGCCGACCUGAGAGGAUGAUCGGCCACAUUGGGACUGAGACACGGCCCAAACUCCUACGGGAGGCAGCAGUAGGGAAGCUUCGGCAAUGGACGAAAGUCUGACCGAGCAACGCCGCGUGAGUGAAGAAGGUUUUCGGAUCGUAAAACUCUGUUGGUAGAGAAGAACGUUGGUGGGAGUUGAAAGCUCAUCAAGUGACGGUAACUACCCAGAAAAGGACGGCUAACUACGUG
rnacentral:rRNA from 1 species